UACGUAGGGGGCAAGCGUUGUCCGGAAUCAUUGGGCGUAAAGCGCGUGUAGGCGGUUCAGUAAGUCUGCUGUGAAAGUCCAGGGCUCAACCCUGGGAUGCCGGUGGAUACUGCUGAACUAGAGUACGGAAGAGGCGAGUGGAAUUCCCGGUGUAGCGGUGAAAUGCGCAGAUAUCGGGAGGAACACCAAUUGCGAAGGCAGCUCGCUGGGACGUCACUGACGCUGAGACGCGAAAGCGUGGGGAGCAAACAGGG
rnacentral:rRNA from 1 species